AAAAAUUAAGUGUUGUACGUCGCCCAAUGUUCAGAGCAAGUCGGAGAUUCUGACGUGAAAAGCUGGAUCUGAGCUAAAAGGUAUCCAGCCUUGAUCAUGACAACUCCUGGUUAUUUUAAAUGAGAAAUUUUUGACUAUUCCUAACAUUACAGCACAGAUUUAGUUUCAAACUAUCUGCUCAUUUAAUGGGAUCCAAAAAAAUGCAGAGGUGAGAACAGAGUGAAGAGAAAUUUACAGAUGAAACACUUCAUUGCAGGAAGGAUCCCACCAUGUGGCUGGAAGCCUGAUUUAAAAAUUUGGAAGUGGCCAGUCAGGAUUUCAAAGACUUGGAAAGACUCACAGAAUGAGGAGAGUUGGAGCUCAACAAGAAAGAUAUUCUGUGAAGCACAGCUCGCAGGUCAAAAGGGGAGAAGUCGAUGGUCCACUGCUAAACCCUGUCACCGCCAGAGGCAGGUUCAUCCAGAGGGGUCACUGGCUCCAACUUCCCAGUCGCUGGCCAGCCUUUCAAUUUGACCAGUUGCUGUGAGGGAAAUGGCCUGCACUGCUAUGCCAGACCCCAGUUACUUUUCCCCAGGCAUUCUGGAAUCCAGCCUUCAUAAAUGUCGUGGCCUUCCUUCCACAGGAAUUUAACUCCGGUGGAACCUCAGAUUGGGAUACUUUAUAGGCUUCAACCAGCACACUGAAAACAUUUGGAAUUUACAGUUCUGGUGAGACAUAAUAGCCACAUAUUAGCACAGAACUCUCUUCCCUAAUCCUUUCAAAUUGAGUUAGCUAGCCCAGGUUGGCAUCUAUCCUGUAGCUAUCGCGUAAAGCAAUCCAUGAGUUACCUUGAUUCAUCAACAGUGACAUUUUUGUAAAAUUAGUCCAAGAAUUUUGUUAAUAAACAAAAUAUUACUGAGCAAUUGCCAGAACUGAAGCGAUAAUGAGAGCUGGAACUGUGCUGUCAUAUUUUGAGAUGUUAAGAUUUUUUUCCUGAACAAGAUAUAAAACGAGCAUCUUAAUCA